rnacentral:rRNA from 1 species
UAAGGAAUAUUGGACAAUGGGCGCAAGCCUGAUCCAGCCAUCCCGCGUGUGGGACGAAGGCCCUCCGGGUCGUAAACCACUUUUGCGUAGGAAGAACAGCGUGGAUUUAUCUGCGUUUGACGGUACUACGAGAAUAAGCACCGGCUAACUCC